rnacentral:rRNA from 1 species
AAAUCUGGCUCCUCGGGGCCCGAAUUGUAAUUUGUAGAAGAUGCUUUGGGUCUGGGCCUGGCCUAAGUUCCUUGGAACAGGACGUCGUAGAGGGUGAGAAUCCCGUAUGCGGCUGGCGCCCGUGCCCGUGUAAAGCUCUUUCAACGAGUCGAGUUGUUUGGGAAUGCAGCUCUAAAUGGGUGGUAAAUUUCAUCUAAAGCUAAAUAUUGGCCAGAGACCGAUAGCGCACAAGUAGAGUGAUCGAAAGAUGAAAAGCACUUUGGAAAGAGAGUUAAACAGUACGUGAAAUUGUUGAAAGGGAAGCGCUGGCAACCAGACUUGGGCGCUGUUGAUCCGCUAGGGUUCUCUCUAGGGCACUCGGCAGUGCGCAGGCCAGCAUCGGUUUGGGGGGUUGGAGAAUGGCUGGUGGAAUGUGGCUGUCUUUGGGCAGUGUUAUAGCCACCGGUGGCAUGCAGCCUCCCCGGACCGAGGACCGCGCUUCGGCUAGGAUGCUGGCGUAAUGGUUGUCAGCGACCCGUCUUGAAACACGGACCAAGGAGUCUAACAUCUAUGCGAGUGUUUGGGUGUUAAACCCAUACGCGGAAUGAAAGUGAACGUAGGUGAGAACCCGCAAGGGUGCAUCAUCGACCGAUCCUGAUGUCUUCGGAUGGAUUUGAGUAAGAGCAUAGCUGUUGGGACCCGAAAGAUGGUGAACUAUGCCUGAAUAGGGUGAAGCCAGAGGAAACUCUGGUGGAGGCUCGCAGCGGUUCUGACGUGCAAAUCGAUCGUCAAAUUUGGGUAUA